GUCAUUGGGGGCCAUCAUGUAAGAGAGGAGUGCAUCCAGGCUGCAGGACAGUAACGCUCGAACCGUUCUCCCAUCAGCUCGAGGAAGCACGCGGAGGACACCGUCAGAGGACGCCGGACAACCCAGAGAACGACGAUGAACACCACCGUGCUCGCCGCGCUCGCGCUGCUGGCGCUGGCUACGGCCGCGCCGUUCCCCGACUACGGCGACGAGGACCGCCUGGGUCUGCCGUUCUCGUUCCUGGACGGCGACCAACCGGAGCCGCGGUCCAGGCCGCGUCUGUCUCCGUGCUCGUGGGCCGUGGUCCAGUGCUGCAACAAUCCGGACGCCGUGGGAAGCCGCGCCGGAUGCUUCUCCAGGCUCGGCUGCCGCGGAGCGUGGUUUGAGAACCCCUGCACUCCAAGCAUUCAGCGGCAUGUCUUCAGGAACGCCUUCAGAACCCUGCGGAAGUAAAACCAUCACCUCGAAUCAUCGCGAGAAUUUCGUCGCGCUGGAUGUGUCACACGAUCGUCAAGAUAUGCACAUUGCAUCGGCUUCCGGUUCGCAGUGAUGCCGGUUCGACAGAAAUGCUGGCCUGGCGUUAGUACUGCGGCUGAGACGUGAAACAGCAUGCAGAGCGUGUGCAGCAGCGUUGGCCUUUGUGUCGUGCACCCCUUUCGUGUUUUUUCUGACACUUCGCACUGAUGGUCGUCUUCAUUCGCCUCGCAUGCUUUUUUCGAAUUUGAAUCUUUGGUGACUGCAACUGUUAUCGUUUUUGCUGCCGUUUGCUUUUGUUUUAGACGGUGCUUUAACUUGAGCCCGUGCUUUGCGUCGUUUCCUUGUUCCAAAAUUGUUGGUGAGAAAACGCCGACAAAAGAAGAGGUGUGUCGGAGUCGGAGGAAUCAUUCCUUAUUCCACCGACGGUCCUCAUGUAUUUUGCGUCUGACUCUCAAGACCUAUUUCGAGGCGCUCGUUAUAGCAUGCACGCAGUUUGCACCUAUUUGCAGUCUGCACCUACCUAUAUCAUGCGCGCAGUUCGCAUCUUUGCUCUUCUGCAGCUGCUGUUCAGUCAUGUAUUCAACAAGUGGGCCGCGUCCCGUUUUGAGAAUACACAUCUUGUUAGAUUCUGUGCUUCGGAAGACAAAUAAAUGACACCUCGUUCA